GACGAACGCUGGCGGCGUGCCUAAUACAUGCAAGUCGAGCGAAUUUCAAGGGGCUUGCCCCUUGAGGUUAGCGGCGGACGGGUGAGUAACACGUGGGCAACCUGCCUGUAAGACUGGGAUAACACCGGGAAACCGGUGCUAAUACCGGAUAAUUCUUUCCCUCACAUGAGGGAAAGCUGAAAGUCGGUUUCGGCUGACACUUACAGAUGGGCCCGCGGCGCAUUAGCUAGUUGGUGAGGUAACGGCUCACCAAGGCGACGAUGCGUAGCCGACCUGGGAGGGUGAUCGACCACAUUGGGACUGAGAAACGGCCCAAACUCCUACGGGAGGCAGCAGUAGGGAAUCUUCCGCAAUGGACGAAAGUCUGACGGAGCAACGCCGCGUGAGUGAUGAAGGCCUUCGGGUCGUAAAACUCUGUUGUUAGGGAAGAACAAGUACCGGAGUAACUGCCGGUACCUUGACGGUACCUAACCAGAAAGCCACGGCUAACUACGUGCCAGCCGCCGCGGUAAGAC
rnacentral:rRNA from 1 species